AUUAAUCUGUAAAACGGGUACGUAAAUAGAUUUCUCUUAUUUUAUCCAUGUAUUAGUAUACAUGGUCUGCUAGUAAAGAAAAACAGCUAGUUGCCAAAGACAAACAAUGUUUGAGCUGAACAUAUUAUGAACUAGCCAUUGGAAUGAUUCACCAGAUUCACAAGGGGCAUGGGGCAUAUUUCAGGAUUUGCUACCUGAAUUGUCCACAUGGUUUACAACCAGAUAUAAAUAUUAGUUAUACAGUAUCAAGUGUAGAUGCCCAAAAAUUAAAUCCUGAAAAUUUAAUAGACUGUAAAUAAAUUUUUUGAGAUACAGUAUGUAAUAAAGGGAUGUUUAUAUGGGAGCGAGCCGCGAGCCUGGAUGCCCAGGGUUAGGGGGUGCAGUAGGUCACUUUUCCUGAGGCGAAUUUUGGCCCAGCUUUAGCAAAAUCUCGGGCUAAAGAGGCGGGAUCUCGCUUAGCUAUAGCUGGCCCCGCUCUUUACCCAUAUAUACACAAGGUGAACUUUAGUAGGAAAUAACAACAAAGGCAGGAUCUCGCCAAAACUGGGCCAGCUUGGGUACCCAGGCUUGGCUUGCAGUUGCACUAUAUAAACAGCCCCUAUAUAUAGGCAGUAUAUAUUUUGUCCGAUAAUUUGAGUCUUUGGAGAUUUUGUGUGUAAAUGAAUAAAAUGACCCCUUACGGGUGGGUUGAGGGGGGUGUUUAUGUCAACAUUUUGGAAAGCAAUAAUAUUUUAUUAAAAAAUUUGAAUAAUCACAUAUUAAACUCUCUUUAUAGUAGUGUAUACAGCAUUGUAUUGUGUGUGAUUAAAGUAUGGUUAUUUUUUUACCCCACCUCUGCAUACAAGGAUUUUUUGGCCACCCCACCUAAAGCAAGUAUUAUAUUUUUCAGUUACCCCAC